UAUUAGUAAGAAUACCAAUUGCGAAGGCAGCUUACUGGAUCAUUACUGACAGUGAGGAACGAAAGCAUGGGUAGCGAAGAGGAUUAGAUACCCUCGUAGUCCAUGCCGUAAACGAUGUGUGUUAGACGUUGGAAAUUUAUUUUCAGUGUCGCAGCAAAAGCGAUAAACACACCGCCUGGGGAGUACGACCGCAAGGUUAAAACUCAAAUGAAUUGACGGGGACCCGCACAAGUAGUGGAGCAUGCGGUUUAAUUCGAAGAUACGCGCAGAACCUUACCAACACUUGACAUGUUCGUCGCGACUUUAAGAGAUUAAAGUUUUCGGUUCGGCCGGACGAAACACAGGUGCUGCAUGGCUGUCGUCAGCUCGUGUCGUGAGAUGUUGGGUUAAGUCCCGCAACGAGCGCAACCCUCACUUUUAGUUGCCAUCAUUUAGUUGGGCACUCUGAAAGAACUGCCAGUGAUAAGCUGGAGGAAGGUGGGGAUGACGUCAAGUCCUCAUGGCCCUUACGUGUUGGGCUACACACGUGCUACAAUGGUAUCUACAACAGGAGGCAAAACCGCGAGGUUAAGCAAAUCCUUAAAAGAUACCUCAGUUCGGAUUGCACUCUGCAACUCGAGUGCAUGAAGCUGGAAUUACUAGUAAUCGUGGAUCAGCGUGCCACGGUGAAUGCGUUCCCGGGCCUUGUACACACCGCCCA
rnacentral:rRNA from 1 species